AGCAUGUGGUUUAAUUCGAAGCAACGCGAAGAACCUUACCAGGCCUUGACAUGCAGAGAACUUUCCAGAGAUGGAUUGGUGCCUUCGGGAACUCUGACACAGGUGCUGCAUGGCUGUCGUCAGCUCGUGUCGUGAGAUGUUGGGUUAAGUCCGUAACGAGCGCAACCUUGUCCUUAGUUACCAGCACGUUAUGGUGGGCACUCUAAGGAGACUGCCGGUGACAAACCGGAGGAAGGUGGGAUGACGUCAAGUCAUCAUGGCCCUUACGGCCUGGGCUACACACGUGCUACAAUGGUCGGUACAAAGGGUUGCCAAGCCGCGAGGUGGAGCUAAUCCCAUAAAACCGAUCGUAGUCCGGAUCGCAGUCUGCAACUCGACUGCGUGAAGUCGGAAUCGCUAGUAAUCGUGAAUCAGAAUGUCACGGUGAAUACGUUCCCGGGCCUU
rnacentral:rRNA from 1 species